AUACGGCGGAUCCGAGCGUUAUCCGGAUUUAUUGGGUUUAAAGGGUGCGCAGGCGGCCAUUUAAGUCAGCGGUUAAAUCGUGGGGCUCAACCCCAUUCUGCCGUUGAUACUGGGUGGCUUGAUUGCGGUCGAGGUUGGCGGAAUUCGUUGUGUAGCGGUGAAAUGCAUAGAUAUGACGAAGAACACCGAUUGCGUAGGCAGCUGACCAGACCGCAAAUGACGCUCAUGCACGAAAGUGCGGGGAUCAAACAGGAUUAGAUACCCUGGUAGUCCACGCAGUAAACGAUGAUCACUAGCUGUUUGCGAUACAGUGUAAGCGGCACAGCGAAAGCGUUAAGUGAUCCACCUGGGGAGUACGCCGGCAACGGUGAAACUCAAAUGAAUUGACGGGG
rnacentral:rRNA from 1 species